rnacentral:snoRNA from 1 species
AAGUUAGAGGAUGAGGAGCUGGUCUCCUACAUCCUUAGUGGCCUGGACAUCGAGUACGAUGCAGUGGUCUCUGUAGUGGCCUCACACGUUGAACCGAUCUCACUUGGGGAAUUAUAUACCCAGCUGGUGAGCUUUGAGC